AGAGGCGGUGCAGGCGGGGCGGGGGCGCAGCCGAGGUGGCAGAAGCUCACAAGCGAUGCUGAUCUGACAUCCCAGCAACCUGCCUGCAGCUCUCCUCCAGCAGCAGUGUGAGCUCCCUGGGGCUCUGCAGUCUGGACCUGGAGUGACUACCUGUACCCAGAGAGGCUGACGGCCGCUCGGCAGGAGAAGAGCGGGAGGCCGGAUCGCGGGAUCCCCGUUCUCUGCCGCUUGUCGGUGAUCGGCGGCGGGGAAUGAAGCGGGAUUAAAUGGAAGAUCAGUGAAGGCGGCUGCGGGGCGGCGGCAGAGCUGUCUUCAGCACCUGGCCAUGGGGCUGCGCUCGGCUGCCUAGGAGCCCCCACCUUUCCACUCGCACUUCCCCCUUUGCAGAGGAGACUGAAUAAAACCAGGUAGGUUUUUUAAAGUUGUGUUUUCUAUCUUGGUUAAAUGUGUGUAGAGUUGGAGACCUCUGAGAGACUGUAUGCCCUGGAUAUGAAGGCAUGUUAACUUUGACAGGCUGCUGAAUAUCCUGAAACUCAAGUCUUGUAAACCACAUCCAGCUCUGGAUUCAAUUCACUGCUUUAGUCUAUGUGGUGUUUUUUUCAUUUUUUUCUAACUUGAACAGACAGAGGCUGACAUUUUGCAAGUGGUUCUUUACUGUUUCCUUUUGGUGUUUCUAUGGCUUAUCUAAUAUAAAAUCAGUGCUUUUUUUUCCUCCCAAAGAUGGAAUGAUAUUCCAUUAAAGUAUUUUUUGUAAAACUACAGUUUCUAAAUGUGCUGGACACACCAACUCUGGUGUCUGAAAUAUCAUGUUCAUGCUAAUGGGAGCAGCAGGCUUAGGAAGCUUCAUUUCCUCCUAUAGCACUGCUAAGACAUUUUCCUCAUGACUGGGAGAGACAACAUCUGAGACCAGGAGAGUUGGUCGGGUGAGAUAGAGCUGUUUCUUUCCUUGGUCUCGUAAGCUUCACUCAAGAGCACCAGUGAAAUAACAUCAUCAAAACUAAAUGCUUC